rnacentral:rRNA from 1 species
CUAAUACCCGAUGAUAUCCCUAGAAGACAUCUGAAAGGGAUUAAAGAUUUAUCGGUGAUGGAUGGGGAUGCGUCUGAUUAGCUUGUUGGCGGGGUAACGGCCCACCAAGGCAACGAUCAGUAGGGGUUCUGAGAGGAAGGUCCCCCACAUUGGAACUGAGACACGGUCCAAACUCCUACGGGAGGCAGCAGUGAGGAAUAUUGGUCAAUGGGCGAGAGCCUGAACCAGCCAAGUAGCGUGCAGGAUGACGGCCCUAUGGGUUGUAAACUGCUUUUAUAAGGGAAUAAAGUGAGCCUCGUGAGGCUUUUGCAUGUACCUUAUGAAUAAGGACCGGCUAAUUCCGUG